GACGAACGCUGGCGGCGUGCUUAACACAUGCAAGUCGAGCGGAAAGGCUCCUUCGGGGGUACUCGAGCGGCGAACGGGUGAGUAACACGUGAGUAAUCUGCCCUUCACUUGGGGAUAACCUCCGGAAACGGUGGCUAAUACCCGAUAUGACCGGCCCACGCAUGUGGUGUUGGUGGAAAGUUUUUUCGGUGGGGGAUGUGCUCGCGGCCUAUCAGCUUGUUGGUGGGGUAAUGGCCUACCAAGGCUUCGACGGGUAGCCGGCCUGAGAGGGUGACCGGCCACACUGGGACUGAGACACGGCCCAGACUCCUACGGGAGGCAGCAGUGGGGAAUAUUGGACAAUGGGCGGAAGCCUGAUCCAGCAACGCCGCGUGAGGGAUGACGGCCUUCGGGUUGUAAACCUCUUUCAGCACAGACGAAGCCUUGUCUUUGUGGGUGGGGUGACGGUAUGUGCAGAAGAAGCACCGGCCAACUACGUGCCAGCCGCCGCAGUAACAC
rnacentral:rRNA from 1 species